rnacentral:lncRNA from 1 species
AUUUAUGAAAAUAUUAUUUAUUAUUGUUGUACUUGUUUUUUUAAGUAAAAAUGUCUAAAAUAUACGAAAUAAAUAAAAAAAUAUUAGGGACCACCGCCAGGGCCGGCCCUUAUUAACAUUUGGUGGGGCAAUGGCCUAGGGCCCCCAAUUUUUGGGGGCCCCAAAAUUUAGGCCCACUUAUAUUAUAUACCCUACAAUAAAAAAAAAUUACUUACCUACUUUCUAAUGGUGUAGCCGACAGCAGCAAUCAAUUCAUAAAAAAAAAUUUAGACCCACUUAAGCUCUCCCACGCUCUCUCUCAACGGCUCUCUCUGUCUCUCACGCUUUCUGAUUCUCUCUCUCUCAGAACUCUCAAUCUCAU